rnacentral:rRNA from 1 species
UACGGAGGGGGCUAGCGUUGUUCGGAAUUACUGGGCGUAAAGCGCACGUAGGCGGCUUUGUAAGUUAGAGGUGAAAGCCCGGGGCUCAACUCCGGAAUUGCCUUUAAGACGUGCAUCGCUAGAAUUGUGGAGAGGUAAGUGGAAUCCGAGUGUAGAGGUGGAAAUUCGUGAGAUAUUCGGAAGAACACCAGUGGCGAAGGC